rnacentral:rRNA from 1 species
CACGUAGGGGGCAAGCGUUGUCCGGAUUUAUUGGGCGUAAAGAGCUCGUAGGUGGUUCGAUAAGUCGAGUGUGAAAACUCCAGGCUCAACCUGGAGACGCCACCCGAUACUGUCGUGACUAGAGUCCAGUAGGGGAGCGUGGAAUUCCUGGUGUAGCGGUGAAAUGCGCAGAUAUCAGGAGGAACACCAGUGGCGAAGGCGGCCUUCUGGACCAAUACUGACGCUCAUGCACGAAAGCGUGGGGAGCAAACAGG